GUCUGAAAUCUCUGCUGGGAUCAGUUUUGAUGAUUUUUUAUAUUUCUUAGUAAAUUUUCCACAUCAUUUAAGUCUUCAAAUUAAUUUACAUAGAUUGACUGAAAUAUUUGAAAUUUUUUGUACUUGUAGAUUUUUCCUGUGUUUUCCUUUCAUUUUUUUCCCUAGGUUAGGUUCUACCAAUUUUGUUUUGUAGUUAAUAUUGUUUUAUAUUAUUUUUGCUGCUUUUUUAUAUUUAUUUUUCAUUGUCAUUUUUUUUGAGUUGAUUAUUAAAUGACUAAAUAAAAAGAGAGUAAAUGAGAAUAUAUGGGGCUACUACUGUUUUUCUGUGAGCUCUGCUUUACCUUGCGGCGUGACCAUUGCAUUUACAGAUUCUGAUUGGCGUGUGUGUGAUGAGCUUCCAGGUUUUCUGUAGUUCCAUUUUGAUUUUUUCUUGGGCCCAAGAGUUUUACAAUUUUGGUGUGCUAGAGAAUUUCUCCACAGCUUCUUUUGUGGGUUUUUUGUUUUGUUUUUUUUUUUGCAGUACGUGGGCCUCUCACUGUUGUGGCCUCUCCUGUCGCGGAGCACAGGCUCCGGACGCGCAGGCCCAGCAGCCAUGGCUCACGGGCCCAGCCGCUCCGCGGCAUGUGGGAUCCUCCCGGACUGGGGCACGAACUCGUAUCCCCCGCAUUGGCAGGCGGACUCCCAACCACUGUGCCACCAGGGAAGCCUCUUUUGUGGUUUUGUUGAACAGUGAUUAGAGAGGUCGACUGUAUCACAUCUACUUCCUGGAAUCAGUUGAGGUUUCAGUGGUGUCCUUACAUGGCAGGUUAGUGAUGAGUGAGGUCACCUGUAUCUACUUUUUGAGAUCAAUUUAUUUCCUUGCUUGUGGUCAGUUAAGAGUCUCCUAGUGAAGUUUCUGUGUUUUUCCUAAAUUUCCUCUACUGUGCUCUAUGAAUUUGGAUGUUGUGUUGGUACAUACCGAGGCCUAUUAGAUUUUUGGUGGUGGUUAUGUCUUAUUAAAUUCCCUUCUUUGUCUCACUGAAUGCUUGUGGCCUGGAUUUUUAAAAUCUCAUCUGACAUUAGUAGUGUCACCCCUGUUGCGUGAGUUGUUGUCUGCAUUUGCCUGGUAUAUUUUUGCUCAAUUUUUUUGAGUCUUUUUUUUUCCUUGAACUUUAUUUUGAAAUAAUUUUAGAUUGACAUAGAAGUUGUAAAAAUAGUGCAGAGAGUUCCUGUGUACCCAUCACCCAGCUUCCCCCAGUGAAAACAUCUUAAAUAACCACAGACCAAAUGAUCAAAACCAGAAAAUCAGAGUUAAUGCAGUACUAUGAACUAAACAGCUCAAACCUUAUGUGAAUUUUACCAGUUUUUCCAUAGUACCUGAUUUGAGGCCUACUUGAAGUUAAGGGCACAGUCCUCCAGAUAGCAAAGUCUACCCAAGACUUCUGAAACCAAUUGCAAGUUCAGGGAAUUACCCAAACCACCCUCAGGUUGGAUAAUUUGCUAAAAAAAAAAAAAAUUCAUGGAAACCUAUCAUACUGAUGGUCAUAUUUAUUACAGGGAAGGGAUACAAAUGAGAACCAGACAAAGGGAAGAUUCUGGGAGGGUUCAAAACACAGAGCCUCUGGUUGUCCUCUUCAUGUGAGUCCUUCUAGAGAAUCACUGAGCCUGAGGGUAGUCUUGGGGACCCCUGCCACAAGUUAUAUGAAAUUUUAUUACACGUGUAGAUCAGUGAAACCACCACUACAAUUGGGAUACAGAACUAUCCCAUCACCCCCAAACUCCUUCAGGUUCUCCCUCGACAGUCACACCCUCUUAAUCCUACCCUUAGCAACCUCAAAUCCAUUUUCCAUCAUUAUAAUUUUGUCACCUUGGGGGUCUCUGUAAAUGGAACCAUUUAGUAUGUAACCUUUUAAGACUGGAUACUAUCACUCAGCAUAAUACCCGUGAGAUCCAUCCAAGUUGUUCUGUGCAUGUUCCUUCUCAUUGCUGGGGAGAAUUCCAGUGUAUGUUUGUACCAGUUUCUUUAUCUGUUCACCCUCUUAAGGACAUUUGGGUUAUUUCUAAGAUUUGGCUCUUGUAAAUAAACCUGCCAUGAACUUUCAUGCAUAGAUUUUUGUGUGAUAAGUCAUCUUUAGGAUCAAUACCUGGGAGUAGGAUUGAUGGGUCACGUGCUAAGUGUAUGUUAAAGUUUACAGGAUGUUGCCAAGUUCUCCAGAGAGGCUGUAGCAUUUACAUCCCCAUCAGCAACAUAUAAGAGUUCCAGAUGCUGUGCAUCCUUGUCAUCACUUAGUAUUGUCAGUAUUUUAUUUUAGCCACUUUAAUAGGUGUGUAGUGUAUCUCAUUGUGGGUUAAGGUUGCCUUUCCCUACUGGUUAAUGAUGUUGAACAUCUUUUCUUGUGCUUACUUAUCGUGGGUAUGUCCUCUUUGGUGAAGACUCAGUUCAAGACUUCUGCCCUUUUUGUAAAAUUUAACCGUUAAGUUUUGAGAUUUAAAAAAUAUUCUGGCUCAAGUCCUUUGUUAGAUAUGAUUUGAAAAUGUUUUUCAGUGUGUAGCUUCUAAAAAAUUCUCUUAAUUGUAACUUUCAUGAGUAAAAGUUUUUAAAGUUGUGAAAUUCAAUUUAUCAGUUUUUCUUUUCUUUUACGGAUAGUACUUUCGGUGUCACGUCUAAGAACUCUUUGCCUAAUCCUCAAUUCCAAAGAUUUUCUCUUUUGUUUUCUUCUAUGGUUUGGUCUAUUGCCCAUUUUUGGUUAAUUUUUGUAGAAAGUAUAAGAGUUUCUUUUUUGCUAUGGAUGUCCAGUUGUUGCAGCACAUUUGUUGAAAUGAAUAUUUUUUCCCCCUUGAAUUGCUGUUGGCUUUUUGUCAAAAAUAAGUUGGCUAUACUUGUGUGGGACUAUUUCUGGACUCUAUUCUGACAUUGAUCUGUGUGUCUGUUACUUUACCAGUAUUGCCCUGUCUUGAUUACUGUAGCUAUAUAGUAAGUCUUAAAACCAGGAAAUAUGUUUCUUCCAACUUUUUGCCUCUUUUUCAGAAUUGUUUUAGCUAUUUUAUAGUUCCUUUGUCUUUUCAUAUAAAUUUUAGAAUAAGAUUGUCUAUGUCUUAAAAAAAGAUCCUGCUGAGAUUUUGAUAGAAAUUGUGUUAAAUCUAUAGACCAAUUUAGGGAGAACUGAUAUCUUUACUAUAUUGAGCCUUCCAAGGCAUGAACACAGUAUGUCUCCCCAUUGUUUUAGGUUUUCUCUGAUUUCUUUCAUUGGCAUUUUGUAGUUUGCAGCACACAAACAGAUCCUAAACAUGUUUUGUUAGUUUAAGUAUUUCAAUUUGCUUCAUUGUAAAUGUGUAUUAUGUUUAAAAUUUCAGUUUCCAAUUGUUCAUUGCUAGUAUAUAGAAAUACCAGUGAUUUUUUUUAACCUUGUAUCUGUGGCUUCCCUAGACUCACGUAUUGGUUCUGGAAAGGUUUUUGUGUUUAGAUUCCUUGGGAGUUUCUACAUACACAGUGUCAUGUGAAUAGGGACAGUUUUAUUUUCCCCUUUUAAAUCUCUUUUCCAGUGCCUUUUAAUUUUCUUUUCUUGCCGUAUUGCACUGACUAGGAAUUCCAGUAUUAUGCUGAAUAGGAGUGGUGAGGCUGGACAUCUUUGCUUUGCUCUUAAUGUUAUGGGGGAAGCAUUCAGUCUUUCAUCAUUAAGUAUGAUGUUGACUGUAGGGUUUUUUGUUUUUUAUUUUUUCUAGAUACUUUUCAUUUGGUUCAAGAAGUUUCCUUCUGUUCCUAGUUCACUGAGUUUUUAUCAUGAAUGGGGUUUGAAUGUUAUGCUUUUCCUGCUUCAGUUGAUAUGACCAUGUGGUUUUCCUUCUCUAGAUUAUUAAUAUGGUGGAUUGCAGUGAUUAUUGAAUAUUGACCUAGCUUUUCAUUUUUGGAUUAAUCCCACUUGCUCAUGGUGUCUUGUACUCUUUAUAUAUCGCUGGAUCCAAUUUGCUAAUAUUUCAUUGAGGAUUCUUGUCUCUGUGUUCAUGAGGGAUGUUGGUCUAUGGUACUGUGUUUGUAUGGUUUUUUUAAAUUUUUUAUUUUAUUAUUAUUUUUUUGCCAUACGUGGGCCUCUCACUGUUGUGGCCUCUCCCGUUACAGAGCACAGGCUCCGGACGCACAGGCUCAGCGGCCAUGGCUCACGGGCCCAGCCGCUCUGCGGCAUGUGGGAUCUUCCCGGACCGGGGCACGAACCCGCGUCCCCUGCAUCGGCAGGCGGACUCUCAACCACUGCGCCACCAGGGAAGCCCUGUAUGGUUUUGAUAUCAGGGUGAUGUUGGCUUCAUAAAAUGAGUUGAGAAGUGUUCCCUCCUCUUAUAUCCUGGAAGGGAUUGUGCAGGAUUGUUAUUUCUUUAAACGUUUAGUAAAAUUUACCAGUGAAACCAUCUGGCUUUGGUGAUUUCCUUUUCAGGGGAUGGUUUUAAUGAUAACUUCAGUGUCUUUGCUAGUUAUACAACUACUCAGAUUAUGUAUUAUUUCAUCUUCAGUGAGUUUUAGUAGUUUGUGGUUUUCAAGGAAUUGGUUUAUUUCAUCUAACUUGUUGAGGGCAUAAAGUUGUUCUCAGGGUUCCUUUAUUUUGGGAAUAUCUUGAGGGAUCUGUAUGAUAUACCAUCUCUCAUUCCUAAUAUUGGUAGUUUGUAUCUUUUUUUUCCUUGAAUGAACCUCUAGCAAGACUGACACUUCCAUUGAUUUUUUUCAAAGAACUGGUUUUGAUUUUUUUUUUUCUAUUUUUGCCUUUGACUUCAUUGUUUUCUGCUCUUUCUUUACUGUCUAUUUUGGUGAACGGCCCCCUGCUGUUGAUGGGUGGAGUUCUAUAAAAAUAAAUGGAGCUAAGCUGCUUAAUGGUCCUGUUCUAUUACAUCCUUGACGAGAAGAGCGUCUUCACUUGCAUGCAGUCCAGUCGAUCCAGUAUAUAUAACACUUAGUGGCUAGCUCUUUGUGUCUUAUUUGGUAAAAAUUUACCUAUCCCUAUUUUUUCUUUCAAAAACUUUACUGUUUUACCUUUUACAUUUGCAGUUUAUCCUGGCUUGUUCUGUAUGGUAUAAGUAAGGGUUAAGAAUACUUUUUUGUUGUUUCUAUCGCAAGUAUGAAUCGACCCUAGUUAUUAUUUUAAUGAGAAACCUAUUGCUUGGGCCAGCAACUUGCUGAAGAAUCCUGAAAAGGGAGGGAGCCGCAGGGAGUGUCCCUGACUCAGAGAGAAGCCCCCGUAGCAGGCUGUGUGUGUGUGACGUUAUUUGGCUUUAUGUCUAGGCAGUCGCUAAAUGUUGGUAGCUGUGGGCAGGUAUCACCCCUGCCCCAAAGGGGUCUUCUCCAGCCAGCCCCUCCCCUCUUCUUGUGGGGAUGGCUUAUGUGUGUGUCUCCUCAUUCAGCUCUGCUGUCACUAGGGGCCAAGGAGCCUAGUGAGGCUGUGAAUCUUACUUUGGAGGAACGUGGGCUUUGCCUGGGAGCUUCAGGGGUCCACUUUGACCUUCUUCGCCCUGUCUGGCCUGGGUGUUACCACCCGGGGCAGCCUGUCUCACAGCUCCUGUGGCUGGGUGUAGUGAUUCACUUUUGUGUGUCAGUUUGGCUAGGCCAUGGUGCCUAGAUGUCUCUGGGAUUUUUUAGAUGUGAUUAACAUUUCAACCAGUAGACUCCAAAUGAAGCAGAUGACCUUCAUCAUGUGGGAGGGCCUCAUCCAAUCAGUUGAAGGCUAGCAGACUGAGGUCCCCGAUAAGAAAGGAACCCAGACCCGAGCCCUGCCGUACCAACUCCUUCCUGAGUCUCCAGCCUGUCGGCCAGCGCUGGAAAUGUCAGACUCCCUGGCCCCGACAGUCACGUAAGCCAACUUCUUAACACAACCGUCCUUCUCUUUCUCUCCUCUCCAUCCUGUUGGUUGGAUUUCUCUGGAAAGCCCUGCGUCGGGGGGGGGGGAGGGGCGGGUUAUAGCUGUGGCCUCAGUUCAUGAAAGAUGGAGUUGCAUUUCUGGUUCUCCGUGGUGGUAUUUGCCUGGCCACAGACAUCCCUGCUCUGCCAUCUUUCAGCUGGAAGGGCGGACACGUGUUAAGAACAGCCCUGGGGCCAGUGGGAAAGAAGCCUCAGGCUGGGGGGACAUAUUCCGGUUCCUGAUUCUGGAGGGCAAGGCCACGUCUUGUUCAGCCUCAAAAGCAGAGGCCUUUGCUUAGCCUGUUCAGGAUGUGACUGCCUCUUGCCACAUACGUGGUCAUGAACUUGAGGUUGUGCGUUUCCCACCCGGCCACGUGUAGGAAAGGGCUGAUUAAAUCCAUCAAAAUAAUCAUCAUUAAAAAUACCGAAAGCCCCCCUUUUACGGAUGACGAGAGGGGGCCUCAGUUGGGCAGUGCGACCAGAAGCCUGGGUCCUGCCCUCUCCCCUGCCCCCACCUUCCCAUCCUACCAGGGGCUGCACGGCAUCAAGCUAUGGCACAGAUAUGUAGCCAGACGUGGUUAAUAAAAAUCAUUGUGAUUUAAUAAAUAGUGAGGUGUUUCUGUGCAGGUCCUUCACUGUCCCAGGGCCUGGCGGGACACAGUGGUGGAUGGACGCAAGGCUGAGCCCAAGCUCCCCGCCGGUUUCCCAGGAAUAGCCAGGUGAGUGACCUGAUGCCACGGUGUCCUGAAAGCACCUCUCGGAAGAGGCGGGGCAGGGGGAGGGCCACAGUCACAUAAAAAUAUAGAUUUAGGGGAAUUUUACAUGGGUCGGGGUCCACUAUACAUCUUCCUGGUGGAUCUGGGCUUUCUGGGCUCUGGAGCAGAAUUUUUCACAUAGUUUGAAGAGCUCUGACAAAAUGAACACGGAGGAGGCCAAUCCAGUUAAAAGCAAUAGAUCUGCCAACAGGUGAAGAGAGAAAAAGGUCAGAGUGCAAGCUGGCCCCUCUGGUCCCCAGCCCUGUGCUGCCCAGGGCCGCGGAGUUCCGUUCUCCGUGCUUGGUUCGUUCUGAGUCACAGAGGCGAGGGGCCGGGACCCGGGAGCCGAGGACCAGACUUUCCACUGUCCUGAUGGGGCAGAGAUUUCCCCAGCCCAGCAUCCAAAACGCUGCAGAGCCAGCUCCACCAGGACCAGCUGGUCUUUGCAGGCAGCUCAGAGCUGGGGGGUGGGCAGGCUGCAAGCCUCAGCUGUAAGGAGACCCUUGCUUGGGCAGACGCCCCGGCCACGGCUCAGGCUCCCAGUCCCACCCGAUUCCGGCUAGUUCUGACCCCUACAUUCUCCCCCUGAGCCUUUUCUGGGCUCCCUGCUGUCAACGGUGCGUGACGGACAUGGUGCCCGGCACAGGCCCUGCACUUCCUUUAGACUUGGGAAGCUUCCUGAAUUCCCAGUGGAUGGAGACAUCUGUAAAAAAACAUUUUUAGGUUUUUUUCCUUUCUCCGUACCCUCAGGGACCCUGCUUUUUAGAUUUUGGGGAAGGAGAAGCUGGGGGUUCCCAGUCUUGCCCAAAGGUUUUCAGUGCCCUUGUCUCCACCACCUCGGACGCUGCUGAGCAUUUCAUGAUCCUGGGAGGUACCCCGCACUGUGCUCUGCCUUGGAGGCUGCCUCCCCAGCCCCCUCACCCUCUGGCUCCCCGGUGGGGUCUGGGAUUGCCGAUGGAAAGCCGGGUCGGCGGUCACCCUGGUGCUCCCCCUGCACUGCUGCUCUCCAGGCCCCCUCCUCCCACUUCUGGUCCCCGUCACCACCGUUUCAGGCACAGGAGGCCAAGCCACCCGGCGCAGCUUCCGAAGAGAAGCCUGCUGAAGAUGCAGGGCAGUCCCCGGGGUGCCCCACGCGGCAUGUGUGCUUGGGGCCCAGAGAGCUGUGGUCAUUGCAUGUGGCCCUUUCAGCAGGAAGUGCUUGCUGGCCCACUCCUGCCUCCAGUGCAGAUGUCCAGGAACGAGCCGAGUCCUUUGGGGACAGGAAGGCCCCAUGCGGGGACUUCACGCCCCAGAAAGGUCUGCAGCUGCCCCAUGCAUGCGGCGAGGACGGCUGCGGUCCCAGGUGACCCCUCCCACUCACCGAGCGCCCCCAGGUUCUCCGUCUGGAAGACCUUCUGCAGGGGCGGCAGGUAUAUCACCGCUAGCUGCCCCAGGACAGACCCGAGCACGGAGUAGAGGAACGUGCGGUUCCUGAGGAAGCCGAUCUCGGAUAUCAGCUUGGUCUGCGGAGAAGAAGGUCACAGUUGGGGCACAGGAGCCGCCUAGAGACGCGGGCCGGGAAAGCGUGAGCCGGGGCCGUGGGGGCUCACCUGGGAGCGGCAGGUCAAGGCGUUGAAGAGGUCAAAGAGCACGAAACAGCUCCCUGGCCAUGUCAGCACAGGGGCUGUCUGAACCUGCAGGCCAUGGAAAGGUGACGCAUAGGAAGAGCCCCUACAGUGAGAACAGACAGCCUCUUCAGUGAGUGGUGCUGGGAAAACUGGACAGCUACAUGGAAAAGAAUGAAAUUAGAACACUCCCUAACCAUACACGAAAAUAAACUCCAGAUGGAUGAAAGACCUAAAUGGAAGGCCAGACACUACAAAACCCCUAGAGGAAAACACAGGCAGAACACUCGGACAUAAAUCAGAGAAAUAUCUUCUUUGAUCCACCUCCUAGAGUAAUGAAAAUAAAAGACGACCCACAGAACGGGAGACCAUAUUUGCAAACGAGGCAACUGACAAGGGCUUAAUCUCCAAAAUAUAUAAACAGCUCAUACAACUCAAUAUCAACAGAACCCAGUCAAAAAAUGGGCAGAAGAUCUAAACAGACGUUUCUCCAGAGAAGACAUACAGGUGGCCAAAAAGUGCAUAAAAAGAUGCUCAACAUCACUAAUUAUUAGAGAAAUGCAAACCAAAACUGUACGAGCUAACACCCCACACCGGUCAGAAUGGCCAUCGUCUAAAAGCCUACAACAAUAAAUGCUGGAGAGGGUGUGGAGAAAAGGGAACCUUCCUACACUGUUGGUGGGAAGGUAAACUGGUAGAGCCACUAUGGAGAACAGUAGGGAGGUUCCUUCAAAAACUAAAAAUCGAAUUACCCAGACAAAGCUAUAAUUUGAAAAGAUACCUGCACCCCUAUGUUCACAGCAGCACUACUUACAAAAGCCAAAACAUGGACGCAGCCUCAACGUCCAUCAACAGAGGAAUGCAUAAAGAGGAGGUGGUACAUACACACAAUGGAAUAUUACUCAGCCAGAAAAAAGAGUGGAAUAAUGCUCCUUGCAGCAACAUGGAUGGACCUGGAGCUUAUCAUACUAAGUGAAGUAAGCCAAAGACAACUAUAUGCUAUCACUUAUAUGUGGAAUCUAAAAAAAGUGAUACAAAUGAACUUAUUUACAAAACAGACUCACAGACUUUGAAAACAAACUUAUGGUUACUAAAGGGGAAUCGUUGGCAGGGAAGAUAGAUUGGGAGUUUGGGAUUAAUUUAUACACACUACUGUUACAUGUAAAUAAUCAACAAGGACCUACUGGGUAGCACAGGGAACUCAGUAUUCUGUAAUAACCUAUAAGGAAAAAUUCUGAAAAAGAAUGGAUACGUAUAUAUGUAUACCUGAAUCACCUUGCUGUAUACCUGAAUCACCUUGCUGUACUCCUGAAACUAACACAACAUUGUAAAUCAACUCUACCCCAAUAUAAAAUAAAAAUUUAAUAAAAAAUAAGAUCUCGGGCUUCCC